UGACUAGCUAGGUCAGACUACAUUUAUUCA
rnacentral:piRNA from 1 species